UACGGAGGAUGCGAGCGUUAUCCGGAUUUAUUGGGUUUAAAGGGUGCGUAGGCGGGCUGUUAAGUCAGCGGUGAAAUGUCCCGGCUCAACCGGGGCACUGCCGUUGAUACUGGCAGUCUGGAGUACGGACGGCGCCGGCGGAAUGUGUCAUGUAGCGGUGAAAUGCUUAGAUAUGCCACAGGACACCGAUCGCGAAGGCAGCUGGCGAGGCCGGAACUGACGCUGAGGCACGGAAGCGUGGGGAUCAAAC
rnacentral:rRNA from 1 species